AUCUAACCCCGACAGGAUCGAUAUCCUUUGCCUGGCUUUUUUAGACAGGUAAAGAUAAAGAGUAUGGCGGGAACAAAU
rnacentral:sRNA from 1 species